rnacentral:rRNA from 1 species
UGCUCAAUGAUUUUUUAAAUUGCUGUAGUAUUUUGACUAUACAAAGGUAUUGAAAUAAGAUUUUAAUUGAAUGCUAAGAGAAUGGAAGUCCAGAAAAAAACUUUUUUUAAAUUAAAAAUUGAAGUUUUUUUAAUUUGUGCAGAAACAAUUAUUUAUAUUAAAGACAAGAAGACCCUAUGAAUUUAUUAAAUUUUUAUUUAAUAUGUAAUUACUAUUAGAAAAAUUUUGGCUGGGGCGGCUAGAAAAUAUUAUGAACUUUUUAAAAAUAAAAUGAUCCAUUAUUAAUGAUUUUAUGUUAAAUACUCUAGGGA